UCACCCUGAGUCACCUCAUUAGCAUAACAGACACUCCUCUCACUCAGGAAAUUCCAAGGGUGUUUAAAGUUCUGGGGCAUGGAACUGGAAAAAAGAUCCAUUAUGUUCUUGGUUUUACCACAACGCAUGCGCACACUCACGAUUACGCCUUAUUCAUCUGGUCGCCACAGCAGCCCCACACCAGCUCAUCAAGAACUCUCUAAGGUGGUGGUAACACGAGAGCCCUCAGAAGGUCACACCCCAGUCCCUCCUUAAAAGGGUCCUACCGGAGGAAGUUUGGCAGAUCGGAGAAAGUGCAAGGCAAACGGUGCAAAGCUGAGGACUUUUGGAGCUGACCUGACACCUAGUGGCCACAGGCAGGAAUUACUCCACCAUUGGGAAGGCUCCAGGGCUGUUGCAAGCAGGGUUCCACCCAGGCACCAGCAGUGAUUGGAUGCUCACUACGGGCAGAGGACUUGAUGGAGAAUUUUAUGGGUUAUAAUAGGCUUAAAAGACACGGUCCCUGACUUUAAGCAGAUUUGAUUUAUCUGAAGAGUUGGAGCAAAGA